GGGAACCUGCCUACUUCCGCCCAGGAAUCUGUUUUCCUCUAGCUGCCAUUCAUGGCCCCGGGGCUCAGCCUCUAUCCUGCUUUGAGCAGUCAGCGCGAUGGCAGCAGCCACUGACAUCAGAAUCUUAGCUGGGAAAGUAGAUGAGCACUCGGCUUGCCCAGAAUGGAUAUUUGAACGUGAAUUACCUUUGAUGAGAAGCUGUUUCAUCUCUUCUCAAGCCUGUAAUUUAAAGAUCCUGGGCUGUUGGAAACAUCAAGUAUGGCAUCAAUUUCUUCAUUUAUACCUAAGAUAUAGCCUCCUGAUGAAAGAAUAAAACUUUCAAUUAACUGGCA